AAAGAAGAAGAAGGACAAGAAAAAAAAAGAAAAGGGAGGAUAGUUCAGAUGAGGAUGUGUCUG
rnacentral:ribozyme from 1 species